CCACCGCGGCGGCUGGGCGGCGGGUGCCAUGCGCCUGGAGCUUUACUUUCUCUCUGCGCCCGCCCCCCGCGCCCGCCCCCGCCCGCUCUCGGCGGGCCACGCCUCGCGCGCGGCCGCGCACCUGCUUAGCAGGCUUUGGAAUCUGGAGCGGCCUUGAGAGGAACCAAGUCAUCAUCUCUGACUUCCGUAUAAGGAAACUGAGGAACAAAAAGGAGACACAAUUGGCUGAGUUCACGUUGCCAACUCAAGGGGUUAGUCCUGGCUCUGCACUCAGGAAUUACUUCUGGCGGUGCUCAGGGGACCAUAUGGGAUGCUGGGAAUCGAACCCGAGUCAACCACAUGCAAGAUGGCAGCACAGAUGAAAAAAUGUUUGAAAACCAUGGAGUCAGCAGGUUUCGAAAGCAAUGAACAGCCAGUUCUAUUCAGCUUCCUUUUAAAAGUAAAUUAUCAAGGGGAGAAAACAGAUCAACGACCUUGAUCCAAAGACACAGCAGUGAAUCCCGAAAGACAGCAGCUUGCCGGGGAUCUCUUCAGACCCUGUACCAAGCCAAUUCCACCAGGCACCUCAGAUGAAGCGGGUGUACCCUCUCUGCCUGCUGUAAAUAAAACCCCAAUGGCCACGAGCUUCCAGAUGCAAAAUCCAGGUUCAUGGGCUCAGGGACCCAGACUCCAGGCCACAUGGCAGCAGCGGAGAGAGGCGGGCCCUUCCUGUCUCCUCUCCAGGAAACUUAGUUUCCUGGCUGUCAUGCUCUCCAUAUGCCCCUGGGCGCCAUCUCAGCACAUCAAAGGCCUUGAUCCAGAGACUCCCAAAUGAAUCUCAAAAUAGAUUAGCUCCCUACAGAGAUGUCUCUGGACCCCAACCAUUUACAAGUUUAGAAUUCCAGAAGUGCAUGACCACUUUUGAGGCUGAGCGAUCUUUCCUGAUAAUCAUAUUAAGCAAUAGGAAAUAAAUUAUCUAGCAUCUACCCCUGGCUGGCAGGCUUGAAUGGUGGUGGGAAAAUUCGAAGUAAUGGUGGUGGGAAUGUGUAAUGGUGGGGGGUAGAUGUCAAAAUCUUGAAUGUAAUCAAUUAAUGUGAACAACCUUAUUAAAAUAAUUUUUUUUAAAGAGGAGAAAACAAAAGGUAUAUGAUUAGCAUCUCAGGUUCCCAGGUCAGGUCAUUCUAUAAACUUACUAAGAUCUUUGUCCAUUAUUUUAACCUUGAAAUUUCUUUUUGGUCACAAUCACACAAUAUCCCGUUUAUCACCGAUUUCUCGGGCAGGCUCAGUAACAUCUCAUUUCGUCCUUUCCCUGAGAUCUUAGAAGUCUGUUUCGACUUGGCCCUCCUAAAGAUGUUGCACUGGGAGCUCUUCAGGGUCAGGGGAAUGAGAUCCAGCUUGUUACUGGAUUUUGCAUAUGAAUACACCAUGGGGAUCUUGCAAGGCUGUCCCAUGGGGGGCAGGAAACUCUCAGAAGAUUGCCAGUUUCUCCUAGAGGGAGAGGUAGGCUAAAGAUAUAAGAGCUUGCUUUUAAGUCUCAGGAUGUUGACCUUUGAUGGGAUUACACACACCUGGAUACCUCUGCCGGUACCUUCAUGCAUGAGGCCUGUCCGAACGUGUAGAGAGGGGCCUCCAGCAUGGCUGCAGCUAGGUUCCAGUGGUCUUAGGCCGCCAGGAGCUCUGCUUGGGGUGGGGAGGGAAGCUGGAGCCCUUCUGGUGGUUCUUUUUGGUAACCACCAAAAAUUGCCAACUAGGGAUUGGAGCAAUAGCACAGCAGGUAGGGCAUUUGCCUUGCAUGCGGCCAACCCGGGUUUAAUUCCCAGCAUUCCAUAUGGUUCCCUGAGCACUGCUAUGAGUAAUUCCUGAGUGCAGAGCCAGAAGUAAUCCCUGUGCAUCGCCAGGUUUGACACAAAAAGCAAAAAAAAUAAAAAAUAAAAAAUUGCCAACUAAGUUCAAAGGACACUUUUACGUUCUCUCUUUAUUUGAUCUUUUAAGUCAUUUCACACAUCCUUCCUUUGCUUUCUUGAACAUCUAUAACAAUGUCUACAUGCUCCCUGAUAUCUUUCUGUAGGCUAGACCUUUCUCUUGAAUUUCAACUUCAGAGAGCAACCUUUAGCCAACUCCACCAUAUGUUUCAUGGCUUCUUAAACUCAAACAGAAAAAACUUGGAACACUUCCCCUUCAAAAUUGUACACACUCAGAGCUGGAGCGAUAGUACAGAGGGUAGAGCAUUUGCCUUGCACGCGGCUGACCCAGGUUCAAUUCCCAGCAUCCCAUAUGGUCCCCUGAGCACCACCAGGAGUAAUUCCUGAGUGCAAAAGCCAGGAGCAAUCCUUGUGCAUCGAUGGGUGUGACCCAAAAAGAAACAAAAUGAAACAAAACAAACAAAAACAAAACUGUACACACUCCUCCUCAACCCUCCUUGAUGAUUGGCAAGCACUAACAUGGAUUCGCUGACACAACCAGUACUUUGUGUAUCAUCCCCAACCAUUUUUUCAUCAUCUCUCAGUAUAUUUGCAUCAUCAUAAACUAUUAGUUUUUUUUUUCCUUUUACCUAUUUUCUUCCUCUCUGCCAUCACCAAACUUACCCAAAUCUCUGGAUUCCCUGAUUCCAUUCUUCCUCUCACCCCACAGAUACAUGAGUGCCUGGGCACUCAGGAAUGCAAAAAGUACAACAGUUUUCAGGGAAUCAGCUUAAUAUGUGGAUCUGUGCUUCCUAGCAUACAACUUAAUCUAGAUUCUAUCAAGUGAAUUCAGUGAUUUUUCUGUCAACUGAGACUACAUUAGUAUUUCUGUUCAGAAUUCAAUUACAGAUCUUCCUUUAUGCCUCUUAGCAUUUAUAUCUCCUUGGGUUGACACUCCAAGAGAAGCAAAGAAGAGGGGGAUGGAUCAUGUGUGGCUGACUGAUGAAGUAAGAGCUCUUCAUUAAGUCUCAUCAGGGCUAGUCCUAAUGCUGACAUAAGCUGCAAAGGUCAUUGUUGCCUUUCCUCUCAGCCCAGACAGGUUCCAUUGUGCCCUCUGAGUUCUGAGAUCCUGUUCUUUCUGACUGCAGGGGUCACUGUCAUCCUCAUCGAUUUGUUCGAGCGGGCACCAGUAACAUCUCUCAUUGUGAGACUUAUUGUUACUGUUUUUGGCAUAUCCAAUAUGCCAUGGGUAGCUUGCCAGGCUCUGCCAUGUGGGCGUGAUACUCUCGGUAGCUUGCCGGGCUUUCCAAGAGAGGCAGAGGAAUCGAACACAGGUCGGCCACGUGAAAGGUGAAUGCCUUACUGCUGUGCUAUUGCUCCAGCCCUGACGGCAGGGGUAGGAUGGGGAAAAAUACCAUCAGGUCCCCUGUAGCUUAUUGUCUCACAAAAACACCCACAACUGCAGUGAACAAUCCAAGACCACCUCUCUCCUGUUUUAUCCAGAACAUUACUUCUCAAUUCACACUGACACAUUAAUGUGAAUCCCACCAUUCUACUGGUCUAAUCUCAGAAUUAAAAUGCAGGUCCUGAUUGCUGGAUUACCAUGAUCCCGGAGGCCAGCUAAACUACUUUUGGUACCAGCAGCUUCUUGCAGAAAUGUCUCUAGACUGUGAACUAAGCCACAGCCCCAUGCCGCCCCAGGAGGGGAAAGGAUUUUCUCUCUCAGCUUUUUCUUUUGGGGGUGGGGGGGCGGAGGAGGAAGGUGUGGUGACCACCAUCUUAUAAGGACCAUUAAAGAGAGGUAUGAGCUUGCAAUGAUGCAAUUUCUGGCAGAAAUUUCCCUGGACUUAGUUACUAAAAUACAGAAAUUCAAAACCUCUUAUCUCUUCAUUCUCAGCAAUGGAAAACAAAUUAUCAAAUGCUUCCUUUUCAGCAGGUCUGAUUUGGGGGGGGGGGGGAACUCC